rnacentral:rRNA from 1 species
GCUACGGGUGGCAGCAGUGGGGAAUAUUGGGCAAUGGGCGCAAGCCUGACCCAGCAACGCCGCGUGAAGGAAGAAGGCUUUAGGGUUGUAAACUUCUUUUGUCAGGGAAGAGGAGAAGACGGUACCUGACGAAUAAGCCACGGCUAACUAAGGGCCAGCAGCCGCGGUAAUACGGAGGUGGCAAGCGUUGUCCGGAUUUACUGGGUGGAAAGGGCGUGUAGCCGGGUUGACAAGUCAGAUGGGAAAUCCUGCGGCUUAACCGCAGAACUGCAUUUGAAACUGUUGAUCUUGAGUACUGGAGAGGCAGCCGGAUUUCCUAGUGUAGCGGUGACAUGCGUAGAUAUUAGGAGGAACCCCAGUGGCGAAGGCGGUCUGCUGGACAGCACCUGACGGUGAGGCGCGAACGCGUGGGGAGCAAACAGGAUUAGAUACCCUGGUAGUC